rnacentral:rRNA from 2 species
AACAAUGAUUUCCCUAGUAACGGCGAGUGAAGAGGAAAGAGCUCAAAGUUAAGUUGGAACCUGUUUGGCCUAGCUAAACAGGAUUGUAAACUGUAGAAGUGUUUUCCAGGCAAUCCGAGUUAAUAAGUCCUUUGGAACAGGGCAUCAUAGAGGGUGAGAAUCCCGUCUUUGAUUCGAGAUAUUUUGUCUUUUGCGAUACACUUUCAAAGAGUCAGGUUGUUUGGGAAUGCAGCCUAAAUUGGGUGGUAAAUCUCACCUAAAGCUAAAUAUUGGCGAGAAACCGAUAGCGAACAAGUACCGUGAGGGAAAGAUGAAAAGAACUUUGAAAAGAGAGUUAAACAGUAUGUGAAAUUGUUAAAAGGGAACCGUUUGGAGCCAGACUGGCUUGUCUGUAAUCAAUCUAGGUUUCGUGCCUGGAUGCACUUGCAGACUAUUUGCCCCUGCCAACGACAAUUUGACUUGAGGGAAAAAACUAAGGGAAAUGUGGCCCACUUGUGGGUGUUAUAGUCCCUUAGAAAAUACCUUGGGUUGGAUUGAGGAAC